rnacentral:rRNA from 1 species
UACGUAGGGGGCAAGCGUUAUCCGGAUUUACUGGGUGUAAAGGGAGCGUAGACGGUGAAGCAAGUCUGAAGUGAAAGGCGGGGGCUCAACCCCCGGACUGCUUUGGAAACUGUUUGACUGGAGUGCAGGAGAGGUAAGUGGAAUUCCUAGUGUAGCGGUGAAAUGCAUAGAUAUCACGCAGAACCCCGAUUGCGAAGGCAGCAUACCGGUGCAAAACUGACGCUCAGGCACGAAAGCGUGGGUAUCGAACAGG